UACGUAGGGUGCAAGCGUUAAUCGGAAUUACUGGGCGUAAAGCGUGCGCAGGCGGCUAUGCAAGACAGAUGUGAAAUCCCCGGGCUACAACCCUGGGAACUGCAUUUGUGACUGCAUGGCUAGAGUACGGUAGAGGGGGAUGGAAUUCCGCGUGUAGCAGUGAAAUGCGUAGAUAUGCGGAGGAACACCGAUGGCGAAGGCAAUCCCCUGGACCUGUACUGACGCUCAUGCACGAAAGACGUGGGGAGCAAACGA
rnacentral:rRNA from 1 species